rnacentral:snRNA from 1 species
ACGCUUCAGCAGCACAUAUACUAAAACUGGAACGAUACAGAGAAGAUUAGCAUGGCCCCUGCACAAAGACAGAAGCUAGAAGUAAAUCUGUAAGUUUCC